rnacentral:rRNA from 1 species
UGCCAGCCGCCGCGGUAAUACGGAGGGUGCGAGCGUUAAUCGGAAUUACUGGGCGUAAAGCGCGCGUAGGCGGUUUGGCAAGUUGUAUGUGAAAGCCCUGGGCUCAACCUAGGAACUGCAUCCAAAACUACUAAGCUAGAGUGCGAGAGAGGAGAGUAGAAUUUCUGGUGUAGCGGUGAAAUGCGUAGAUAUCAGAAGGAAUACCAAUGGCGAAGGCAGCUCUCUGACUCGUCACUGACGCUGAGGUGCGAAAGCGUGGGUAGCAAACAGGAUUAGAUA